UCUUUUGGAUGGACAAAGAAAGUGGUUUCCUGAGAUGGAAUCUACUCUUGGUGAAGAUGCUGUAAA
rnacentral:pre_miRNA from 1 species